rnacentral:lncRNA from 1 species
GGUGUGUCCAAACUUUUGACUUGUACAGUAUAUAUAGAUUUAUCGGGGGUGCUGCAUUAUUUUUAUCACAAAAUUAGUGAACUAGGCCUUUAUUACUCCUGUAUGAGCGGAGGAAAAUACUCAUCAGCAGAGCGGAGAAAAAUACUUCCUCCCCCAUCGACAGCACCCUCACCCCAAAACAUCUUUGUCACAGUGGAAAUGGCAAUAACAAUAAUAACAAUGGGGUAAAAGGAGACAAGACUACAUAAUAACUAACCUAGUGCCCUCUUGUCGUAAUCGGAGAGUGAAGUGGAGGCCUGGGGGGUCAAGAUCAGGGAGCUGCCCCUCUCCGACAUAGCUGCCCACCUCCCACGAGGCUCUGCCCCUCCUCCUCCUCAACCCCAUAAGACCAUGUGGAGUUGCUGUCCCACAAAUCCUCCUCACUGGAUGUGGGAGUGCUGGGAGGCUGGUUCUGCUCCAUGUCCCAAGUGCUGGUCGGACAAAUCUCCCCUGGCCUCUCCCCAAGCAGGGCAAAGACAGGGAGAGACCCCUCACUGAGGGCUUUAUGGACAUCCCUUCCCUUGGCCCUCCUCACUGACCCCAGUUCUCCCACACUGACGCUGGAGUAGAGUGUGUCUUUCUGGGGAUAAACCCUCUUCAUCUCCUCUGCCUGAUUACAGAGGCUGAACCAUCUCGAUCUCUGUGAGGACCCAGAGUGACUCCAGCUGUUGUCCUCCCCCUCCUGGAGGGUUUCCAGGGCCAUAAUGGUGUAGUGGGCCCUUCCCUCUGAGUUCACAUCUGGAGAAGACCGGCAGGUGGAUGGAGAUGAGGCAGUGGACGACCCUGACAACCUACUGGAUGAGCUGUCGUCUCCAUUUGCCAGUGGCAGAGGUCUGGUGAAGUUCUCUAACUCGCCCAUGUCUGCCUCAAUGGUGGACAACUGACCUAGGGCUGAACCAAUAUGCUCCUCCAUCCAGCCCUGCUCUGGAAGGGGGAGCAGGCCACUUCUGUUGGAGCAGGACACACUUGGAUGUUCCAGAGAUAGUGGUUGAGCAUCCACACACUCUGCCAGCUGACAGAGGUUUAACGCCAACUCUGGUAUGUUGGACCUGCUCGAUCCCUGUGAUGACCCAGGGCGACUCCCAUUCCGGCCGUUGUUGCCUCUUCCGGACCUCAUGUGGUGGAUCUGUCUGGCGACCUCCUGGGCACUCUCACAGGCAUCCCUGAACAGCACUGAGAAGAUGCUGGAGAGCCUCUCUUCGGUCAGAGUGAUGCAUGGAUUGGUGGUCUCCAGGUCAUUCAUACCAGAGAAGAGGUCCUCCUGGGCAUUCCUCAUGAUGUUACUCACAGCCAUGUCUGCUAUACCCUGAAUCUCCUUGUCUGUCUCAGAAUUGGGUGUGGGGGGCUGCCCGCCCCGGAGCCUCCCCUUCGGCUCAGAGCUCCGCCGGUGGAACAUCUCCGAGACGAUCUUUAGCACCCCUGACCCCCGGCAGGAGGAGUGGAGUGACUCUGGACUGGAGAUCCUGAGCAGAGCUAUCGCUGGCAGGAGGACCGCAUAGGACAUGUUUUCCAGGUCCUCUAUGGUCACAUUCUUAGAAAGAAAUACAACAACUUAAAGUGACAUCAUUUCCUCUUAGUUUUUAAGUUACAUGUAUUUUGUUGUUGUUGGCAUGAGGUAAAGAAGUAGAAAUGGGGGACUUACCUUUUGUUUGAGGAACUUCCUGAUGAGCUUUCUCUGACUGGAAAAGAAAAAACAAACAACAAGAAUCCUUGGUUAGUGGACUGGCAACUAGAUUAUAUUUUUUUCUACUGCACAUAACACGGUUCAGAGCAGGACUCACGGCUGAGACUUCAGGAAGUCCUCUAGAGAGGACGCCUCCUCCACAUUCUCAGGUGUCAUCUCACGGGGUGGGUCCACCAGAGAAGUGGCAUCGGAGGUGACAUCACUCUCUGGGGUCUCUGGGGUCAGGGGGUCAUCAACAGAUGGAGAGGAGUUCAUUCUCAUCCCAUCCUCAGGUGUCAAGGGGCCUGGUGGCUCUGAAACAGAAGACAAUCAGAAUUACCACCUAACAAGCUAGUAACCACGGCAACGACUCGAUUUAAUAACCACUGUGUCACCAAAACCCACCUGUUGUCUCCACCUUAGUCACUUUAGUGCCCUUCUUGAUAGCUGGCAGGACACCUACAGAAAGAGGAGAGUCAAACCAUUAGUUGAUCCUUCCACCAUAUUGCAUGUUCUUUUAUAAUUAUAUCAAUAAAUCCAGGUAUUUUGGAAGUGGUGAUCAAUACUCACUGUAACUGGUCGUCGGAGAUAGAAGAGGUGGCGGCAGCGCCAUGUCACCAACGACUUGGCGGCUUGGUUUUUUCGCCGCUGCAUUGGCCUCCCUAGCCUUUCUGGGCUCAAUGGCCUCUCUGGCGUUCUUUUCGGCCUUGGCCAUCUUGGCGUGAUGGCUCAGCCUGGGGCCUUGAGGGGACUUCAGCACGAAGUUCUGAGAGAAACAACAACAGUAGCAAAAUCAUAUCACCAUAAAAUCCACCUCUUUCACCAUAGACAUGACAGUACUAAAUGACAUGUCACAUAAGGGUUAACCUUAGAAUCAGAAUUAGACUCAGAUUCCAAUGCUAUUGGUUCUAACGAGUAAAUGACCCAUGCAUCAUUAUCUUGUUUUAAAC